GACGAACGCUGGCGGCGUGCCUAAUACAUGCAAGUUGAGCGCUGAAGGUUGGUACUUGUACCGACUGGAUGAGCAGCGAACGGGUGAGUAACGCGUGGGGAAUCUGCCUUUGAGCGGGGGACAAUAUUUGGAAACGAAUGCUAAUACCGCAUAAAAACUUUAAACACAAGUUUUAAGUUUGAAAGAUGCAAUUGCAUCACUCAAAGAUGAUCCCGCGUUGUAUUAGCUAGUUGGUGAGGUAAAGGCUCACCAAGGCGAUGAUACAUAGCCGACCUGAGAGGGUGAUCGGCCACAUUGGGACUGAGACACGGCCCAAACUCCUACGGGAGGCAGCAGUAGGGAAUCUUCGGCAAUGGACGAAAGUCUGACCGAGCAACGCCGCGUGAGUGAAGAAGGUUUUCGGAUCGUAAAACUCUGUUGGUAGAGAAGAACGUUGGUGAGAGUGGAAAGCUCAUCAAGUGACGGUAACUACCCAGAAAGGGACGGCUAACUACGUG
rnacentral:rRNA from 1 species